AUUGGGCAUGUGAUGAAUCUCAUUAUACAAAUGGGUAAUUUGCGUCUGAAUUAAUUACUUUGAUGCUAUAUCACCUUGGAGAACUGAUGCCCAAA